rnacentral:rRNA from 1 species
AGAGUUUGAUCAUGGCUCAGGACGAACGCUGGCGGCGUGCUUAACACAUGCAAGUCGAACGGAAAGGCCCUUCGGGGUACUCGAGUGGCGAACGGGUGAGUAACACGUGGGUGAUCUGCCCUGCACUUUGGGAUAAGCCUGGGAAACUGGGUCUAAUACCGAAUAUGACCAUGCACUUCCUGGUGUGUGGUGGAAAGCUUUUGCGGUGUGGGAUGGGCCCGCGGCCUAUCAGCUUGUUGGAGGGGUAAUGGCCUACCAAGGCGACGACGGGUAGCCGGCCUGAGAGGGUGACCGGCCACACUGGGACUGAGAUACGGCCCAGACUCCUACGGGAGGCAGCGGUGGGGAAUAUUGCACAAUGGGCGCAAGCCUGAUGCAGCGACGCCGCGUGAGGGGUGACGGCCUUCGGGUUGUAAACCUCUUUCAGCACAGACGAAGCGCAAGUGACGGUAUGUGCAGAAGAAGGACCGGCCAACUACGUGCCAGCAGCCGCGGUAAUACGUAGGGUCCGAGCGUUGUCCGGAAUUACUGGGCGUAAAGAGCUCGUAGGUGGUUUGUCGCGUUGUUCGUGAAAACUCACAGCUUAACUGUGGGCGUGCGGGCGAUACGGGCAGACUUGAGUACUGCAGGGGAGACUGGAAUUCCUGGUGUAGCGGUGGAAUGCGCAGAUAUCAGGAGGAACACCGGUGGCGAAGGCGGGUCUCUGGGCAGUAACUGACGCUGAGGAGCGAAAGCGUGGGGAGCGAACAGGAUUAGAUACCCCGGUAGUCC